AUUGAACGCUGGCGGCAGGCCUAACACAUGCAAGUCAAGCGGAUGAAGAGAGCUUGCUCUCUGAUUCAGCGGCGGACGGGUGAGUAAUGCCUAGGAAUCUGCCUGGUAGUGGGGGACAACGUCUCGAAAGGGACGCUAAUACCGCAUACGUCCUACGGGAGAAAGCAGGGGACCUUCGGGCCUUGCGCUAUCAGAUGAGCCUAGGUCGGAUUAGCUAGUUGGUGAGGUAAUGGCUCACCAAGGCGACGAUCCGUAACUGGUCUGAGAGGAUGAUCAGUCACACUGGAACUGAGACACGGUCCAGACUCCUACGGGAGGCAGCAGUGGGGAAUAUUGGACAAUGGGCGAAAGCCUGAUCCAGCCAUGCCGCAUGAAUGAUGAAGGUCUUAGGAUUGUAAAAUUCUUUCACCGGGGACGAUAAUGACGGUACCCGGAGAAGAAGCCCCGGCUAACUUCGUGCCAGCAGCCGCGGUAAUACGAAGGGGGCUAGCGUUGCUCGGAAUUACUGGGCGUAAAGGGCGCGUAGGCGGACAGUUUAGUCAGAGGUGAAAGCCCAGGGCUCAACCUUGGAAUAGCCUUUGAUACUGGCUGUCUUGAGUACGGGAGAGGUGUGUGGAACUCCGAGUGUAGAGGUGAAAUUCGUAGAUAUUCGGAAGAACACCAGUGGCGAAGGCGACACACUGGCCCGUUACUGACGCUGAGGCGCGAAAGCGUGGGGAGCAAACAGGAUUAGAUACCCUGGUAGUCCACGCCGUAAACGAUGAGUGCUAGUUGUCGGCAUGCAUGCAUGUCGGUGACGCAGCUAACGCAUUAAGCACUCCGCCUGGGGAGUACGGUCGCAAGAUUA
rnacentral:rRNA from 1 species